rnacentral:rRNA from 1 species
GACAGAGGGGGCAAGCGUUGCUCGGAAUCACUGGGCGUAAAGGGCGCGUAGGCGGGAUGGCAAGUCGGUCGUGAAAGCCUUCGGCUCAACCGAAGAACGUCGGCCGAUACUGCCGUUCUUGAGGGAUGCAGAGGAGACUGGAAUUCCCGGUGUAGCGGUGAAAUGUGUAGAGAUCGGGAGGAACACCGGUGGCGAAGGCGGGUCUCUGGGCAUCUCCUGACGCUGAGACGCGAAAGCGUGGGGAGCAAACAGG